rnacentral:rRNA from 1 species
UUGGAGGGCAAUUCUGGUGCCAGCAGCCGCGGUAAUUCCAGCUCCAAUAGCGUAUAUUAAAGUUGUUGCAGUUAAAAAGCUCGUAGUUGAAUUUCGGGAUCAAUAUAUCGGUCGUGCCUUGGUACGUACUGGUAUCAUUGGUUUCUCCUUUCUGACGAACCAUGAUGUCAUUAAUUUGGUGUUAUGGGAAGUUAGGACUGUUACUUUGAAAAAAUUAGAGUGUUUUACAUUAGCAUGGAAUAAUGAAAUAGGACGUUCGAACCUAUUUUGUUGGUUUCUAGGAUCAACGUAAUGAUUAAUAGGGAUAGUUGGGGGCAUUAGUAUUCAAUUGUCAGAGGUGAAAUUCUUGGAUUUAUUGAAGACUAACUACUGCGAAAGCAUUUGCCAAGGAUGUUUUCAUUAAUCAAGAACGAAAGUUAGGGGAUCGAAGACGAUCAGAUACCGUCGUAGUCUUAACCAUAAACUAUGCCGACUAGGGAUCGGAUGAUGUUAAUUUUUUAAUGACUCAUUCGGCGCCUUACGGGAAAC